rnacentral:rRNA from 1 species
GCACAAGCGGUGGAUGAUGUGGAUUAAUCGAUGCAACGACGAAAACCUUACCUACCCUUGACAUGUCCGGAAUCCCGAAGAGAUUUGGGAGUGCUCGCAAGAGAGCCGGAACACAGGUGCUGCAUGGCUGUCGUCAGCUCGUGUCGUGAGAUGUUGGGUUAAGUCCCGCAACGAGCGCAACCCUUGUCAUUAGUUGCCAUCAUUUGGUUGGGCACUCUAAUGAGACUGCCGGUGACAAACCGGAGGAAGGUGGGGAUGACGUCAAGUCCUCAUGGCCCUUAUGGGUAGGGCUUCACACGUCAUACAAUGGUCGGUACAGAGGGUUGCCAACCCGCGAGGGGGAGCUAAUCCCACAAAGCCGAUCGUAGUCCGGAUCGCAGUCUGCAACUCGACUGCGUGAAGUCGGAAUCGCUAGUAAUCGUGGAUCAGCAUGUCACGGUGAAUACGUUCCCGGGUCUU